rnacentral:rRNA from 1 species
AUUGAACGCUGGCGGCAUGCCUUACACAUGCAAGUCGAACGGCAGCGCGGGAGCAAUCCUGGCGGCGAGUGGCGAACGGGUGAGUAAUACAUCGGAACGUGCCCAAUCGUGGGGGAUAACGCAGCGAAAGCUGUGCUAAUACCGCAUACGAUCUACGGAUGAAAGCAGUGGAUCGCAAGACCUUGCGCGAAUGGAGCGGCCGAUGGCAGAUUAGGUAGUUGGUGAGGUAAAGGCUCACCAAGCCUUCGAUCUGUAGCUGGUCUGAGAGGACGACCAGCCACACUGGGACUGAGACACGGCCCAGACUCCUACGGGAGGCAGCAGUGGGGAAUUUUGGACAAUGGGCGAAAGCCUGAUCCAGCCAUGCCGCGUGCAGGAUGAAGGCCUUCGGGUUGUAAACUGCUUUUGUACGGAACGAAACGGUCUUUUCUAAUAAAGAAGGCUAAUGACGGUACCGUAAGAAUAAGCACCGGCUAACUACGUG